rnacentral:misc_RNA from 1 species
CCAGAGUGCCAUAGGCUCUCCAACCCAUUGUGAACAUACCUAUCGUUCCCUCGGCGGGCUCAGCGCGCGGGGCCUCCGGGCUCCGGGCGUCCGCCGGGGACAACCAAACCCUGAUUUUAUCGUGUAUCUCUGAGGGGCGAAAGCCCGAAAACAAAAUGAAUCA